ACUGGAACUGAGAACGGUCCAGACUCCUACGGGAGGCAGCAGUAGGGAAUUUUCCACAAUGGACGAAAGUCUGAUGGAGCAACGCCGCGUGCAGGAUGAAGGCCCUCGGGUCGUAAACUGCUUUUAUAUGUGACGAUUAUGACGGUAGCAUAUGAAUAAGGAUCGGCUAACUCCGUGCCAGCAGCCGCGGUCAUACGGAGGAUCCAAGCGUUAUCCGGAAUUACUGGGCGUAAAGAGUUGCGUAGGUGGCAUUGUAAGUGAGUAGUGAAAGCGUUCGGCUCAACCGAAUAAACAUUAUUUAAACUGCAAAGCUAGAGGAUGAGAGAGGUUAUUGGAAUUCCUAGUGUAGGAGUGAAAUCCGUAGAUAUUAGGAGGAACACCGAUGGCGUAGGCAGAUAACUGGCUCAUUCCUGACACUAAGGCACGAAAGCGUGGGUAGCAAACGGGAUUAGAUACCCCGGUAGUCCACGCCGUAAACGAUGGAUGCUAGUUGUUAUCGGUAUCGACCCCGGUAGUAGCGAAGCUAACGCGUUAAGCAUCCCGCCUGUGGAGUACGGUCGCAAGACUAAAACAUAAAGGAAUUGACGGGGACCCGCACAAGCGGUGGAGCGUGUUGUUUAAUUCGAUGGUAAGCGAAGAACCUUACCCAGGUUUGACAUCCUUGGAAUUUCUGCGAAAGCAGAGAGUGCUUUAUUGAGCCAAGUGACAGGUGUUGCAUGGCCGUCGUCAGCUCGUGUCGUGAGAUGUUUGGUUAAGUCCAUCAACGGGCGCAACCCUUGUAAGUAGUUGAAUUUUUCUACUCAGACUGCCCUGGCAACAGGGAGGAAGGAGGGGAUGAUGUCAGGUCAGUAUUACCCUUAUAUCUGGGGCCACAAACACGCUACAAUGGCCGGUACAAAGGGCAGCCAAGUCGCAAGACGGAGCAAAUCCCAUCAAAGCCGGUCUCAGUUCGGAUAGCAGGCUGAAACUCGCCUGCUUGAAGUCGGAAUCGCUAGUAACGGUAGGUCAGCUAUACUACCGUGAAUACGUUCCCGGGUCUUGUACACACCGCCCGUCAAACCAUGAAAGUCGCCAAUACCUGACGUGCCAGCUUGCCUGGCCCUAAGGUAGGGGAGAUGAUUGGGGUU
rnacentral:rRNA from 1 species